GCAAUGAUGACAUCAUGUGGCAUUGAUCUCUUGAUGAUAUUGCCUUUUUUGUCCUCUAAGAAGUUCUGAGCUU